rnacentral:rRNA from 1 species
UACGUAGGGUGCGAGCGUUGUCCGGAUUUACUGGGCGUAAAGGGCGCGUAGGCGGUCAGCACAAGUCAGUUGUGAAAUCUCCGGGCUUAACUCGGAAAGGUCAACUGAUACUGUGCGACUAGAGUGCAGAAGGGGCAACUGGAAUUCUCGGUGUAGCGGUGAAAUGCGUAGAUAUCGAGAGGAACACCUGCGGCGAAGGCGGGUUGCUGGGCUGACACUGACGCUGAUGCGCGAAAGCCAGGGGAGCGAACGGG